CGCUUAUCAAGAAAGGCUGAGGGAAAUGGCCCACAGACGCCUUGACAACCUGUCCCGUUACAAACGGGGUAAGGUGCCAAUACCAUCCCGUAAUGGGAACGAUAAGUC
rnacentral:ncRNA from 1 species